rnacentral:rRNA from 1 species
AACGAACGCUGGCGGCAGGCUUAACACAUGCAAGUCGAACGCCCCGCAAGGGGAGUGGCAGACGGGUGAGUAACGCGUGGGAAUCUACCGUACCCUACGGAAUAACGCAUGGAAACGUGUGCUAAUACCGUAUACGCCCUACGGGGGAAAGAUUUAUCGGGGUAUGAUGAGCCCGCGGUGGAUUAGCUAGUUGGUGGGGUAAAGGCCUACCAAGGCGACGAUCCAUAGCUGGUCGGAGAGGAUGAUCAGCCACAUUGGGACUGAGACACGGCCCAAACUCCUACGGGAGGCAGCAGUGGGGAAUAUUGGACAAUGGGCGCAAGCCUGAUCCAGCCAUGCCGCGUGAGUGAUGAAGGCCCUAGGGUUGUAAAGCUCUUUCACCGAUGAAGAUAAUGACGGUAGUCGGAGAAGAAGCCCCGGCUAACUUCGUGCCAGCCGCCGCUGUAAGAC